rnacentral:tRNA from 1 species
GGGGGUGUAGCUCAGCGGUAGAGCGGUGGCCUUAUAAGCCAUGAGCGCCAGAUUAGCGCACGGUCGCCGGUUCGAAUCCGGCCGCCCCUACCA